CCUACGGGUGGCAGCAGUGAGGAAUAUUGGUCAAUGGGCGCGAGCCUGAACCAGCCAAGUAGCGUGAAGGAUGACUGCUCUACGGGUUGUAAACCUCUUUUAUAAGGGAAUAAAGUGAGGCAAUUGUCCCAUUUUGUAUGUACUUUAUGAAUAAGGAUCGGAUAACUCCGUGCCAGCAGCCGCGGUAAUACGGAGGAUCCGAGCGUUAGCCGGAUUUAUUGGGUUUAAAGGGAGCGUAGGCGGGGUGUUAAGUCAGGGGUGAAAGUUUGCGGCUCAACCGUAGAAUUGCAGUUGAUACUGGCAGGCUGGAGUACAGUUGAGGGAGGCGGAAUUCGUGGUGUAGCGGUGAAAUGCUUAGAUAUCACGAAGAACUCCGAUUGCGAAGGCAGCUUACUAAACUGUCACUGACACUGAUGCACGAAAGUGUGGGUAUCAAACAGGAUUAGAUACCCUUGUAGUC
rnacentral:rRNA from 1 species